rnacentral:lncRNA from 1 species
GCUCAACUGAGUAGUCUAACGUUGUUCCGGUUUUGGUUCUUGUGAACAUUGACAUUGAUUCGUUCCAAAUUUACACUCUCGAUGCAUAAUACAAAGCUUUUACUCCUUGUUCGAUAGAAUUAGAAAAAGUACUCGUUGCAAAGUUAUACUGUUAUGGCGCAACUGAGUAGUCUAAUAUAGUUCCGGUUUUGGUUCUUGUGAACGUUCACAUCGAUUCGUUCCAAAUUUACACUCUCGGGGCAUAAUAGAAAGCUUUUACUCCGUGUUCGAUAGAAUAAGAGAAAGUACUCGUCGCAAAGUUAUACUGUUAUGGCGCAACUGAGUUGUCUAAUGUUGUUCCGGUUUUGGUUCUUGUGAACGUUUACAUCGAUUCGUUCCAAAUUAAAACUCUCGGGGUAAAAUAGAACAAUAUAAUAAGGUUUUGCUAUUUGUUCGAUUGAAUGAGAAAAAAUACUAGUUGCAAAGUUAUACUGUUAGGGCUCAACUGAGUAGUCUAACGUUGUUCCGGUUUUGGUUCUUGUGAACGUUGACAUUGAUUCGUUCCAAAUUUACACUCUCGAUGCAUAACACAAAGCUUUUACUCCUUGUUCGAUAGAAUUAGAAAAAGUACUCGUUGCAAAGUUAUACUGUUAUGGCACAACAGAGUAGUCUAAUGUUGUUCCGGUUUUUGUUCUUGUGAACGUUGACAUCGAUUCGUUCCAAAUUUACACUCUCGGGGCGUAAUAGAACAAUAUAAUUAGGUUUUAUUCUUUGUUCGAUUGAAUGAGAAAAAAUACUAGUUGCAAUAUUAUACUUUUAGGGCUCAACUGAGUAGUCUAACGUUGUUCCGGUUUUGGUUCUUGUGAACAUUGACAUUGAUUCGUUCCAAAUUUACACUCUCGAUGCAUAAUACAAAGCUUUUACUCCUUGUUCGAUAGAAUUAGAAAAAGUACUCGUUGCAAAGUUAUACUGUUAGGGCUCAACUGAGUUGUCUAACGUUGUUCCGGUUUUGGCUCUUGUGAACGUUGACAUUGAUUCGUUCCAAAUUUACACUCUCGGGGCAUAAUAGAAAGCUUUUACUCAUUAUUCGAUAGAAUUAGAAAAAGUACUCGUUGCAAAGUUAUACUGUUAGGGCUCAACUGAGUUGUCUAACAUUGUUCCGGUUUUGGUUCUUGUGAACGUUGAUAUUGAUUCGUUCCAAAUUUACACUCUCGGGGCAUAAUAGAAAGCUUUUACUCAUUAUUCGAUAGAAUUAGAAAAAGUACUCGUUGCAAUGUUAUACUGUUAUGGCACAACAGAGUAGUCUAAUGUUGUUCCGAUUUUUGUUCUUGUGAACGUUGACAUCGAUUCGUUCCAAAUUUACACUCUCGGGGCAUAAUAGAACAAUAUAAGUAGGUUUUAUUCUUUGUUCGAUUGAAUGAGAAAAAGUACUAGUUGCAAUAUUAUACUGUUAGGGCUCAAUUGAGUAGUCUAACGUUGUUCCGGUUUUGGUUCUUGUGAACGUUGACAUCGAUUCGUUCGAAAUUUACACUCUCGGGGCAUUAUAGAAAGCUUUUACUCCUUAUUCGAUAGAAUGAGAAAAAGUUCUCGUUGCAAAGUUAUACUGUUAUGGCGCAACAGAGUAGUCUAAUGUUGUUUCGGUUUUGGUUCUUGUGAACGUUGACAUCGAUUCGUUCCAAAUUUACACUCUCGGUGCAUAAUAGAACAAUAUAAUUAGAUUUUACUCUUUAUUCGAUUCAAUGAGAAAAAGUACUCGUUGCAAAGUUCACUGUUAUGGCGCAACUGAGUAGUCUAAUUUACUCGUUGCAAAGUUAUACUGUUAUGGCGCAACAGAGUAGUCUAUUUUAGUUCCGGUUUUGGUUCUUGUGAACUUUGACAUCGAUUCGUUCCAAAUUUACACUCUCGGGGCAUAAUAAAAUAAUAUAAUUAGGUUUUGCUCUUUGUUCGAUUGAAUGAGAAAAAGUUCUAGUUGCAAAGUUAUACUAUUAGGGCUCAACUGAGUAGUCUAACUUUGUUCCGGUUUUGGUUCUUGUGAACGUUAAUAUCGUUUCGUUCCAAAUUUACACUCUCGGGGUAUAAUAGAAAGCUUUUACUCCUUGUUCGAUAGAGUGAGAAAAAGUAUUCGUUGCAAUGUUAUACUGUUAUGGCGCAGCAGAGUAGUUUAAUGUUGUUCCGGUUUUGGUUCUUGUGAACGUUGACAUCGAUUCGUUCCAAAUUUACACUCUCAGGGCAUAAUAGAACAAUAUAAUUAGGUUUUACUCUUUGUUCGAUUGAAUGAGAAAAAGUACUAGCUGUAAUGUUAUACUGUUAGGG